rnacentral:lncRNA from 1 species
GUUGUUACUUUGUAGCCGAUCCAUUAUCCAAGAUGGCCGCCAGCGGGGGACUUAGCUUAACAUAGGACCCUAUAGGAAAUGCAUACAAAUGACUUUUUCUAGAGAACCACUUUAUGGAAUGAAACCAAACAUGGCAUGAAUGUUCCUUAUGAGGUGCUGACCAAGUUUUGUUACUUUGUAGCUGAUCCAUCAUCCAAGAUGGCCGCCA